rnacentral:rRNA from 1 species
CGCAUCUGUGCAUGCAGCAUAUCAAUAAGCGGAGGAAAAGAAACUAACAAGGAUUCCCCUAGUAACGGCGAGUGAAGCGGGAAGAGCUCAAAUUUGAAAUCUUAAAGGGUUUCCCUUUACUAAUUGUAGUUUAAAGAAGUGUUUUCUGUUGAGGUUUUGGUAAAAGUUCUUUGGAAUAGGACAUCAUAGAGGGUGAGAAUCCCGUAUUUGACCUUUACUUUCAACUUUGUGAUACACUUUCAAAGAGUCGGAUUGUUUGGGAAUGCAGUCCAAAAUGGGUGGUAAAUUUCAUCUAAAGCUAAAUAUUGGCGAGAGACCGAUAGCGAACAAGUACCGUGAGGGAAAGAUGAAAAGAACUUUGAAAAGAGAGUUAAACAGUACGUGAAAUUGUCAAAAGGGAAGCGUUUGACACCAGUGUUGUUUUUCUGAAAAUCAAUUAAAGAACUGUUUAUGCUAAGUUGUUUAGACUUUAUCAGCUAUCUGUUUAGUUUUGAGCUUUUCUUUAAUGCACUUUUCAGUUAACAAGUCAACAUCAAUUUCUUUUGCUGUAAAAAAGCUUGAGGAAGGUGGCUUGAGAUUCGUCUUAAGUGUUUAUAGCCUCUUGCCUAUGCAGUCGGAGAGAUUGAGGUCUGCAGCGUAGAUCCUUCGGGGCUAAAUGCAUUUGUGCUAAGUUAUAGCAUUUUAUAGACAACUUGUUGACUAUGAUUUGUCUUGUAGCUUACUCGCUUAUGUUAUUUUACCUACGCUUAGGAUGUUGAGUCAUCACACAUCUCU